UUACAGCCAUACCACGUUGAAACACAAGUUCCCGUAAGGUCACCGAAGUUAAGCAAUACCGAGCCUGGUCGGUACCUAGAUGGGUGACCGCUUGGAAAUACCAGGUGCUGCAAG